rnacentral:rRNA from 1 species
CCUACGGGAGGCAGCAGUGGGGAAUAUUGGGCAAUGGGCGCAAGCCUGACCCAGCAACGCCGCGUGAAGGAAGAAGGCUUUCGGGUUGUAAACUUCUUUUCUCAGGGACGAAGAAAGUGACGGUACCUGAGGAAUAAGCCACGGCUAACUACGUGCCAGCAGCCGCGGUAAUACGUAGGUGGCAAGCGUUAUCCGGAUUUAUUGGGUGUAAAGGGCGUGUAGGCGGGAGCGCAAGUCAGAUGUGAAAGCUCAGGGCUCAACCCUGAGCCUGCAUUUGAAACUGUGUUUCUUGAGUGCUGGGGAGGCAAUCGGAAUUCCGUGUGUAGCGGUGAAAUGCGUAGAUAUACGGAGGAACACCAGUGGCGAAGGCGGAUUGCUGGACAGUAACUGACGCUGAGGCGCGAAAGCGUGGGGAGCAAACAGGAUUAGAUACCCGAGUAGUC